GAAAUGCGAUAAGUAAUGUGAAUUGCAGAAUUCAGUGAAUCAUCGAAUCUUUGAACUCAACUUGCGCUCCUUGGUAUUCCUUGGAGCAUGCCUGUUUGAGUAUCAUGAAAUCUUCAAAGUAAAUCUUUUGUUAACUCAAUUGGUUUCUACUUUGGUAUUGGAGGUCUUUGCAGCUUCACACCUGCUCCUCUUUGUUCAUUAGCUGGAUCUCAGUGUUAUGCUUGGUUCCACUCGGCGUGAUAAGUUAUCUAUCGCUGAGGACACUGUAAAAGGUGGCCAAGGUAAAUGCAGAUGAACCGCUUCUAAUAGUCCAUUGACUUGGACAAUACUUUUAUGAUCUGAUCUCAAAUCAGGUAGGACUACCCGCUGAACUUAAGC
rnacentral:misc_RNA from 1 species